rnacentral:rRNA from 1 species
GAGAGUUUGAUCCUGGCUCAGGACGAACGCUGGCGGCGUGCUUAACACAUGCAAGUCGAACGAUGAUGCCCAGCUUGCUGGGCGGAUUAGUGGCGAACGGGUGAGUAAUACGUGAGUAGCCUGCCCUUGACUCUGGGAUAAGCCUGGGAAACUGGGUCUAAUACUGGAUACUACCUCCUGCCGCAUGGUGGGUGGUGGAAAGGGUUUUACUGGUUUUGGAUGGGCUCACGGCCUAUCAGCUUGUUGGUGGGGUAAUGGCUCACCAAGGCGACGACGGGUAGCCGGCCUGAGAGGGUGACCGGCCACACUGGGACUGAGACACGGCCCAGACUCCUACGGGAGGCAGCAGUGGGGAAUAUUGCACAAUGGGCGGAAGCCUGAUGCAGCGACGCCGCGUGAGGGAUGACGGCCUUCGGGUUGUAAACCUCUUUCAGUAGGGAAGAAGCGAGAGUGACGGUACCUGCAGAAGAAGCGCCGGCUAACUACGUGCCAGCAGCCGCGGUAAUACGUAGGGCGCAAGCGUUGUCCGGAAUUAUUGGGCGUAAAGAGCUCGUAGGCGGUUUGUCGCGUCUGCUGUGAAAGCCCGGGGCUCAACCCCGGGUCUGCAGUGGGUACGGGCAGACUAGAGUGCAGUAGGGGAGACUGGAAUUCCUGGUGUAGCGGUGAAAUGCGCAGAUAUCAGGAGGAACACCGAUGGCGAAGGCAGGUCUCUGGGCUGUUACUGACGCUGAGGAGCGAAAGCAUGGGGAGCGAACAGGAUUAGAUACCCUGGUAGUCCAUGCCGUAAACGUUGGGCACUAGGUGUGGGGGACAUUCCACGUUUUCCGCGCCGUAGCUAACGCAUUAAGUGCCCCGCCUGGGGAGUACGGCCGCAAGGCUAAAACUCAAAGGAAUUGACGGGGGCCCGCACAAGCGGCGGAGCAUGCGGAUUAAUUCGAUGCAACGCGAAGAACCUUACCAAGGCUUGACAUUCACCGGACCGCCUCAGAGAUGGGGUUUCCCUUCGGGGCUGGUGGACAGGUGGUGCAUGGUUGUCGUCAGCUCGUGUCGUGAGAUGUUGGGUUAAGUCCCGCAACGAGCGCAACCCUCGUUCUAUGUUGCCAGCACGUGAUGGUGGGGACUCAUAGGAGACUGCCGGGGUCAACUCGGAGGAAGGUGGGGAUGACGUCAAAUCAUCAUGCCCCUUAUGUCUUGGGCUUCACGCAUGCUACAAUGGCCGGUACAAAGGGUUGCGAUACUGUGAGGUGGAGCUAAUCCCAAAAAGCCGGUCUCAGUUCGGAUUGAGGUCUGCAACUCGACCUCAUGAAGUCGGAGUCGCUAGUAAUCGCAGAUCAGCAACGCUGCGGUGAAUACGUUCCCGGGCCUUGUACACACCGCCCGUCAAGUCACGAAAGUUGGUAACACCCGAAGCCGGUGGCCUAACCCCUUGUGGGAGGGAGCCGUCGAAGGUGGGACUGGCGAUUGGGACUAAGUCGUAACAAGGUAGCCGUA